UUUCAGAUAGCUUAAAUUUAAAGCUUGACGUUGAAAAUGUUAAUAUGAUUAUUUCUCUGGACA
rnacentral:tRNA from 1 species